rnacentral:tRNA from 1 species
GGAAGAUUGGCAGAGUGGUAAUGCAGGAGCUUGUUAAGCUGUGGUCGGCAACGGCCCACACGUUCGAGUCGUGUAUUUUCCGCCA